rnacentral:lncRNA from 1 species
AUUCUUUAUGAUGCUUCAACUUUAUCCUUGUGAAUGACAUAUCAUCAUUGAUUACUAAAUGCAGGCAAAGAAUAGGACAAAAUUAAGACUGGAGUACAAAGUAUUACAGAUCACUUAAACUACGGAUGGGAAUAACUUUCAGGUAAUGUAAAUUUCAAUAAUUAUUUUGGUUUAUGAUAAAUCUAUUUUCCAUGGACUUGCUACAAAUAUAGGUGAAUUUUGCUAAAUUUAACAUUACUAAAUGAUGUACAUUAUCUACUGCAGGUACCAUAUACACAUGGAUGCGAAAACACACAACCAAACUUUGAUCUCACAAUAGGAGAUAGGAUAAAGAAGUGGUAAGAAACACUACAAUUCAUGUACCAGACUAACCAGGUACUAGAUUAAAAUAUUGCUAAAAAAAUCAUUUACUUAGUGCAACUAGACAUAUGUCAACAAGUAUAUAUGUUGAAAUAGAUGCAG